UCCGUAGGUGAACCUGCGGAAGGAUCAUUAUUGAACAAACUUGGUGGGUUGUUGCUGGCCUCUGGGGGCAUGUGCACACCUGCCUUCGUUUCUUCUCUUCACCACCUGUGCACAUUUUGUAGACUUGGAUAUCUUUCGAGGCGACUCGGUCAGGGAGCUGUCAUUGAGGCUGCUCCUACCUUUCCGGUCUAUGUUUCUUUCAUGUACGCCAUUGUAUGUUACAGAAUGUUAUCAAUCGGGCAUUUGAAAAGCCUAUAAACUUAUACAACUUUCAACAACGGAUCUCUUGGCUCUCGCAUCGAUGAAGAACACAGCGAAAUGCGAUAAGUAAUGUGAAUUGCAGAAUUCAGUGAAUCAUCGAAUCUUUGAACGCACCUUGCGCUCCUUGGUAUUCCGAGGAGCAUGCCUGUUUGAGUGUCAUUAAAUUCUCAAUCCAUGUGAUUUUUGUUACAUGGACUUGGAUGUGGGAGCUUGCAGGCUUCUUUCGAGUCUGCUCUCCUUAAAUGCAUUAGUGGGACUUGUCGCUACAGUCUGCGGUGUGAUAAUUAUCUAUGCCUCGACUGGUGCAGCUUUUUAUGGUCCGGCUUCAAACGGUCCAUUCAGUUGGACAGCUUCUUGACAAUUUGACCUCAAAUCAGGUAGGACUACCCGCUGAACUUAAGCAUAUCAAUAAGCGGAGGAAAAGAAACUAACAAGGAUUCCCCUAGUAACUGCGAGUGAAGCGGGAAAAGCUCAAAUUUAAAAUCUGGCAGUCUUUGGCUGUCCGAGUUGUAAUCUAGAGAAGUGCUAUCCGCGCUGGACCGUGUAUAAGUCUCCUGGAACGGAGCGUCGUAGAGGGUGAGAAUCCCGUCUUUGACACGGACUACCAGGGCUUUGUGAUGUGCUCUCAAAGAGUCGAGUUGUUUGGGAAUGCAGCUCAAAAUGGGUGGUAAAUUCCAUCUAAAGCUAAAUAUUGGCGAGAGACCGAUAGCGAACAAGUACCGUGAGGGAAAGAUGAAAAGAACUUUGGAAAGAGAGUUAAACAGUACGUGAAAUUGUUGAAAGGGAAACGCUUGAAGU
rnacentral:sRNA from 1 species